GAAAUUCAAACAACAUUUCCUCCCAUUUGCGAUCGAUUUUCACAUUGCUUGUUUCAUCGACGAAUCCGGCCUCUCGUCCAUCUUCUCCAUCUCCGAAAUCGGGUACGGUGUGAAUUUUUGGUUGGAGCUCCCGAUGUCGUCCCACUCCAAAUCAAAAGUGGAAAGAUAAAAUAAAAAUACCCACCAGAGCUAUACAUACAGCCUCCUGUAUGUAUAUUAGUUUUGAGAGAGAGAGAGAGACAGAUCUAAGCUCGACCGGCUUCAACUUUUUCUCUCCAAAUCAGCUCAAUUUUGUAGUUUCUACGGGUAAUUUUUUUAAUUUUCUGUACCUUUUUUAAAUAACCAGGUGAGAAGGGUUCUAAAUGUUGGGGGAAUAUAGGUUUUUUUCGAUUGGUGGGUAAUGGUGGAAUGGAUUCAGUUUGCAUCUUCUCUAGUUAGUUUGCAUCCUCUGUAAUUUUCUCCCAAUUGUAUUACCCCAUUUAGGGACAAAUUCUUCUGUCUGAAUGUUUUCAUUAUUCUUCUUGUUAUUUUCAUUUGCAAACAACCCCUUUGGCGACCCAAACGUUAUUGGUGACUCUUAUUGCAUUCUCUUUGUAGGCCGUCUCUCUCCCCUCACAACUGAAGACACUCUCUGCCAGGUAUCCUUUUUCUUAGAUUUGUUAAUUUAUCCAAUUGAAUUGAAAUUAUUGGUUCUUUAAAGUUUUUUGAUCAUUUUGUUUCUCUUUGAAUAUGUAUGGUUCAAUUUAGGAUCAAUUUAUUACUUUUGUUUGUUUUCUCAAGUUAUGAGCAAAUAUGGAAGGGUCAAGAACUUGUGGCCGGUCAGACAUAUAGGUAAUUUCCCUUUAUGUUUUCCUUGAGUGUUUUUAACUGAAUAGACCCACAAGUUGUUUGGUUGAUUUCCUUAGAGGAAAUCCCCUACUUUAAUAUGUUUUAAGGCUUGGGAUGAAUGUUGCCUAGUACUAACAUAUAUUUCUUCCCUACUAAUUAGUGGAACUCUUUAGAUAUCGCCUAUCUUAAUAUACAUAUAUACGAGAUGAACGAGAUGUCGAGAUUUCAGUGAACGUGACAUUUCACAAGGAGAAAGGAUGGGCGGAGGAGUUUGGGAAAGGAAAGGACCCAACACAGCAUGUUUUAGUAAUUAGUUGUCGAACGAGUUGUAGUUGUGUUGUGUUCGUUUUGUAUUUGCUAUCGAGAAAUGGUGUUUUGAGAGCAACUAAGUAUUUGACAGAUGUUUACCAUAACAGCUCUGCACCAUUUUUAUAACUGUUGUAUGUGUUUUAUUUUUAUUCCUUGAGGCCUAAAGAAUUUACUCCUUUGCGUUUCAAGUAACAACUCUGUUUCGGCAUUACAUAAUAGCAUUUUAACGUGUUAGACCAGUCAGCAACAUAUGUGUGCAAAACAAGACCACUAGUUUUGGUAUAUUUUAAAUGAGAUGCUAACUUUCUAUGAGCAUGCAGUAAGUUAGCUUGAUCUCAGUAAAACUCAGUAAAACAAUAUGCAUUCAUGACAGCUCUCAUUCAUGAGUGAAAUUUAUGUGUUUAUGCUGAACCUGAACAAAUGAACUAAAACUUGAUGUUUUAACUAAAAAAGUACCACAACAGGAGAGAGACUACAAUUGCAAUGCACCACAUAUUUCGAACUAAGCUACCACAUUUGGAACCAUUUGCUCUUCAUCAAUUAAACAAAACAAGAUUUAAUUAUAUUCACAUAUCUCACAUAGUCCAACUAACAACUACAACCAAGAAUUUUGCAAUUCCAGCAUGGUUCCUAAUUGCACCAACAGUCCUGAUAUCGCAUUCCAGCACUACUAAUAUCGCAAUAUUGAUAUCCCUUCCAGCACUACUGAUAUCGCAUUGCAGCACCAACCUCAGGGACAGUCAAACCAUCUCUCACUACCAUCUCAUCUUCCACGACAUUCAUAUUGUCCUCCACAUUCUCAUUUUCGGAAUCAACGGACAAAACCUCUUCCAUAUUUGGUUGACCCUGCAAAACAUUAACACUCAACCAAUAUUUACGUGUUCAAAAUGCCCAACUUUGAGUGGUUUAUUUAGGUACAUAAAUAACAGGUCAACAAUAUUGGAAUGUCAUCUAAGUACUGGCUAUUCCCAACACAGCAUUACAACAUAUUUUGUAUCUAACACUGAGAAUCCCAUUUGGCAACAAAUUUAUAAUACAAAACCACGAAAGUUUCCGGUAUAUAAUCCCUUCAACAAAUCAAUGCAAUGAAUUCUUGAAUAUUAACAACUACACUAUUGUUUUUUCCUAAAUGAAUCGAUAUUUUUUCCUUUGGCUAAUGUAUAUUUUAUUUUAUUUUAUUUUUUGCUGCAGAUACCCAGCUAACAUUACUCUCCUAAGUGGAAAUCAUGAGAGCAUGAAAUUCACUCAGUUAAAUGGAAUCAGUAUAUAAGCUCAAAGAGGAAAUGCAAGUGCACAUGAGGGUAAAUGUUUCAGCUAUUUUUUGAAUCAUUUGGAAAAAAAAAUAAGAAAAAGCAGAAUUUUUGAAGGAAAGGAGCAAGUAGUAGCUGACUUAUGACCAACUGACCGAGGGAAAAACUUUUAGCAUUUUUUCAAGUUUUUAGGGAUGAGGAGUCUUAAGUAUUUUCCUUUCUCCUCAAUUUUAUUCUUGAUUUCCUCUUUCCCCUUUUGGUUGGCAGACUCAAAUGGACGAACUGAUUUUCUAGCACACAAUGGAAAACAUUGCAUUAUCACUUCAUCACAGACAGAUUCGGUCAUAAUCCAUAAAUUCAUACCCGAUUUGUUGCCUAGCCACCACCUUCCUGCUGGAUUCUCAGACCAAUUUCAAGCUAAGCUCAACUACACCUUCCUGCAGUGUCGAAACCCCUAAUUUCGCUCCAACUCGCUAUUAAUGUAAUAAGUAGAUUAGGUUAAGGGUAGUUUAUACUUUUACAUUUCCUUAGUUUUGUACUAUAUAAACCUUUGUAUCUUGUAUAUGUUUGCCCUAAGUUUGGAGGCUGCUAUCAAUCGAUUCCUUCUUCCUCUCCAUUCUUCACUUGGUCCUUUGAUUGAUUUAUCUUUGGUUUGUUGUUUUCUACACUCGCAACCCUCCACUCUCUAAUUUUGUUAAAAUCUUGUGAGUUGAUUUGGGAGAGCUGGGGAGACAGAGCACGAUGGGGGAGAGAGAGAGAAAUUACCACCAUUUUAAGAAUUUUGUUUUUUUAAUACCAAGUUGCAAGAAAACCAAUUUGGCGCCACUUUCCAUUAUUGUCAACUUAAAAUCCGAACCGUCCAUUUCCUUCCAUUUGAACCGUACACGUCACUUUGUAAAGGAACUUUGUAACCCAAC
rnacentral:lncRNA from 1 species